UACAGAGGGUGCGAGCGUUAAUCGGAAUUACUGGGCGUAAAGGGCGUGUAGGUGGGUUGAUGAGUCAGAUGUGAAAGUCCUGGGCUUAACCUGGGGAUUGCAUAUGAUACUGUUAAUCUAGAGUGAAGUAGAGGAUAGUGGAAUUUCCGGUGUAGCGGUGAAAUGCGUAGAUAUCGGAAAGAACACCGGUGGCGAAGGCGGCUAUCUGGACUUUAACUGACACUGAGGCGCGAAAGCGUGGGGAGCGAACAGG
rnacentral:rRNA from 1 species